rnacentral:rRNA from 1 species
UCCACCUGGAAACCAUUUGGUGGAUGGCUCGGCUUGGAUACCGAUGAAGGGCGUGUCAAGCUGCGAUAAGCCUUGGCGAGACGCAUGAAGUCUUAGAACCAAGGAUCCCUGAAUCAAUCCCACAGGAUGGGGAACGCGGUGAAUUGAAACAUCUUAGUAGCCGCAGGAAAAGAAAACAAAUUAGUGAUACCGCUAGUAGGGGCGACCGAAGACGGUGGAACGCAAACCGAACUUCGAACGGUAACGUUCGUUGAAUGUGGUGUGGACCUGCUUGAACCUCAGAGCAAAGUUGAAGUGAACUGGAACGUUUCGGCAUAGAAGGUGAAACCCCUGUAAACGUAAACGAUGAGGUCCUUAUGCAGGACUCCGGAUUAAUGUUGGCUGGAUGGUCAGCAUGAACACGGGAGAACUACCUCCCAACGUUAAAUAUUAUCCAAGACCGAUAGUGAACCAGUAGUUUGAAUAAAAGCUGAAAAGCACCCGUAAAAGGGGAUGAAAAGAACCUGAAACCAAAUGGUAAUAACGAGACACAGCACGAAAGGUAACCUUGCUGAAGGGAACGAAGUGAGGUAAUCCGGUGUUGUGUCGUCAGUCAUGAAACACUAGGCAGGGAGUUCAUUUCAGUGGCGAGGCUAAGUCGUAAAAACGAAGCCACAGGGAAACCAACGCCUCGUAUUAGUUCUUCGGAACUAAAUGGAGGAGCGUCUUAAAGGGCGUGAGUCACUGAAGUGAUACCCGAAGCCGGACGAUCUACUCUUGGGCAAGGUGAAGCCGAACAUCAGUUCGGUGGAGGCCUGAACCAUUGCUGAGCUCAUGUCGCUUGGCUGACCUGUGAGUAGGGGUGAAAGUCCAUUCGAGUUCGGCAAUAGCGGGUUCCUUUCGAUAUAUCCUGUAGGAUAGCCUCGUUGGAGAUAGAUAAUGUGGUAGAGCACUGAUUGAGGAGGCAAGGGUCGAAAGAUCCACCUUCACUGUCAAACUCCGAACGCAUUAUCGUCGUAGAAGACGGGAGUUGGGGUGCCGGAGUAAGUCUGGUAUCCGCGAGGGAAAGAACCCAGACCUGGGUUAAGGUCCCAAAGUGAUAACUAAGUGCAUCAAAGGAUGUCUGGAGUCAGAGACAGCUGGGAGGUAGGCAUAGAAGCCGCCAACCUUUAAAGAGUGCGUAACAGCUCACCAGUUGAGUCUCCGGGCGCUUAAAAUAAUCGGGGCUAAGUUAUCCACCGAUACCUAGGACUUCACUUGAAAAAGUGAAGGUGUAGGAAGGCGUUCUGCGGGAGCAGAAGUAGGGGCGUGAGUUCCUAUGGAUCCCGUUGAAACGAAAAUCCUGCCGUGAGUAACAGCUGAAGAAGAGUGAGAAUCUCUUCCGCCGCAAGGGUAAGGGUUCCUCAGCACUGAUUAUCAACUGAGGGUUAGUCGAUCCUAAACCAUCCCGUAACCCGGAGAUGGUGAAUGGGAAACGGGUUAAUAUUCCCGUACCAUGGGCGAAUCGUUUUAAGUCUUCCUUUUGACGCUUCCGGAUAGGUUAAGUGGAGUCAUCGCUCCAUCUAAGCAGGAUAUGGAGAGGAAGUUCCGUAAUGGAGAGAACUUUCCUAAACUGCGAAUGGCCGAGAGGUUUAGCUGAGUCCAGGAGCCCGUGAAAAAUGAGGGAGAAUAGAUUUGUUCGUGAUCGUACCCAGAACCGACAAAGGUACCCUAGCUGAAUAGGCUAAGGCGUACAGGUUACGUCUCUUAAGGGAAUUCGGCAAAUUAGUCCCGUAAGUUCGCGAGAAGGGAUGCCUGCUGCCCGCAAGGAGCAGUAGGUCGCAGAGACCAGAGAGGAGCGACUGUUUACUAAAAACACAGAUCUCAGCCAGCCAGUAAUGGUGUGUAUUGAGGUCGACAUCUGCCCACUGCCGGUACGUGAAGAUCCUUUACAAGGGAAAUAAGCGCCGGUAAAAGGCGGGCCUAACUCUGAGGCUCUUAAGGUAGCGUAAUACCUUGCCGUUUAAUUGACGGCUUGCAUGAAGGAUGUAACGACUCCUCUGCUGUCCCUAAGAGACACCUGGUGGAAUCACUUACCGGUGAAGAUGCCGGUAACUCCCAGAGGGACAAGGAGACCCCGUGGAGCUUUACUGCAGUCUGAAGUUAAGGUAUGGUACUGGGUAUAAAGCGUAGGUGGGAGCCUUCGAAGUUGGAUCGCAAGGUCUAACGGAGGCAACCCUGUAACACCACCUACUCAGUAUUGUACCUUUCACUCGAAAGAGGACAUCUUUUGAUAGGCAGUUUGGCUGGGGCGGUACGUUCCUGAAAAGAUAUCAGGAACGCCCAAUGGUCAGCUCAAGCGGUUCAGAAAUCCGCUGUAGAGAGUGAAGGGCAAAAGCUGGCUUGACUGGAUUCCGUAUGGAGAGGAAUUCAGCCUCGAAAGAGUGGCCUAGACGAACAUUGGUGUCCCUCGUAGUGAGGGCCCAAUCUGGCAAAGAAGUUACCCCGGGGGUAAUGGAUUGGUCGCGGGCGAGAGUUCAUAUCGACCCCGCGGAUUGAUACCUCGAUUUCGGCACGUGCUAUCCUGGCGGUGCAUAAGCCGCCAAGGGUAGGGUUGUUCGCCCAUUAAAAGCGCACGCUAGCUGGGUUUAGUCCGUUGUGACACAGGACGGCGAUAACUUCUGGGAGUGUUGAUUACCUGAGAGAAUGGUCCAUUCAGUACGAGAGGAACGAUGGGUCGAGGCCACUGGUGUACCGGUUGUCUGACAAGGCAUUGCCGGGUAGCUACGCCUCAUGGAGAUAAGAGCUGAAAGCAUCUAAGCUCGAAGCUCUCCUCAAAAAGAGGUAAUCAUUACCUUAUCACCUUGGGCAACUGAGGUGUGACGGUAAAAAAGGCCCCCGUAGAAGACGGGUUUGAUAGACAGGGGAUGUAAGCACCAAGCUUCGGCGAGGUGUUCAGUUCACCUGCACUAAAAGCCUAAAGGACUUUCA